AGUGGGCGUGCAGGAGAAGCUGUAGGUCAGGAGGUAGAGUUGGCAGUGGGCGUGCAGGAGAAGCUGUAGGUCGGAGAGGUAGAGGUGGCAGUGGGCGUGCAGGAGAAGCUGUAGGUCAGGGGGUAGAGGUGGCAGUGGGCGUGCAGGAGAAGCUGUAGGUCAGAGUGGAUAGGUGGCAGUGGGCGUGCAGGAGAAGCUGUAGGUCAGGAGGUAGAGGUGGCAGUGGGCGUGCAGGAGAAGCUGUAGGUCAGGAGGUAGAGGUGGCAGUGGGCGUGCAGGAGAAGCUGUAGGUCAGGAGGUAGAGUUGGCAGUGGGCGUGCAGGAGAAGCUGUAGGUCGGAGAGGUAGAGGUGGCAGUGGGCGUGCAGGAGAAGCUGUAGGUCGGAGAGGUAGAGGUGGCAGUGGGCGUGCAGGAGAAGCUGUAGGUCGGGGGGUAGAGGUGGCAGUGGGCGUGCAGGAGAACCUGUAG
rnacentral:lncRNA from 1 species